rnacentral:rRNA from 1 species
UGCCUAAUACAUGCAAGUCGAGCGCAGGAAGCAAGCUGAUCCCCUUCGGGGGUGACGCUUGUGGAAUGAGCGGCGGACGGGUGAGUAACACGUGGGCAACCUGCCUGUAAGACUGGGAUAACCCCGGGAAACCGGGGCUAAUACCGGAUAAUACUUUCUUUUGCAUAAAGGAAAGUUGAAAGGCGGCUUCGGCUGUCACUUACAGAUGGGCCCGCGGCGCAUUAGCUAGUUGGUGAGGUAACGGCUCACCAAGGCGACGAUGCGUAGCCGACCUGAGAGGGUGAUCGGCCACACUGGGACUGAGACACGGCCCAGACUCCUACGGGAGGCAGCAGUAGGGAAUCUUCCGCAAUGGACGAAAGUCUGACGGAGCAACGCCGCGUGAGUGAUGAAGGUUUUCGGAUCGUAAAACUCUGUUGUUAGGGAAGAACAAGUACGAUAGUAACUGAUCGUACCUUGACGGUACCUAACCAGAAAGCCACGGCUAACUACGUGCCAGCAGCCGCGGUAAUACGUAGGUGGCAAGCGUUGUCCGGAAUUAUUGGGCGUAAAGCGCUCGCAGGCGGUCCUUUAAGUCUGAUGUGAAAUCUCGCGGCUCAACCGCGAACGGUCAUUGGAAACUGGAGGACUUGAGUACAGAAGAGGAGAGUGGAAUUCCACGUGUAGCGGUGAAAUGCGUAGAGAUGUGGAGGAACACCAGUGGCGAAGGCGACUCUCUGGUCUGUAACUGACGCUGAGGAGCGAAAGCGUGGGGAGCGAACAGGAUUAGAUACCCUGGUAGUCCACGCCGUAAACGAUGAGUGCUAGGUGUUAGGGGGUUUCCGCCCCUUAGUGCUGAAGUUAACGCAUUAAGCACUCCGCCUGGGGAGUACGGCCGCAAGGCUGAAACUCAAAAGAAUUGACGGGGGCCCGCACAAGCGGUGGAGCAUGUGGUUUAAUUCGAAGCAACGCGAAGAACCUUACCAGGUCUUGACAUCCUCUGCUAUUCCUAGAGAUAGGAAGUUCCCUUCGGGGACAGAGUGACAGGUGGUGCAUGGUUGUCGUCAGCUCGUGUCGUGAGAUGUUGGGUUAAGUCCCGCAACGAGCGCAACCCUUGAUCUUAGUUGCCAGCAUUUAGUUGGG